rnacentral:rRNA from 1 species
CACGAAUCAUUGGCAAUGCACGCAAGUGUGACCAUGCCACGCCGCGUGGACGAUGAAGGCCUUGGUUGUAAAGUCCUGUCAGGGGUGAGGAACCGCACCGGUCUACCGGUGCCUGACGUUAGCCCCAGAGGAA